CAUUAAGAAGCUAUGAACCAGCGUUAGCCUUUUAAGCUAAAGAAAGGGGUUUAGACACCCCCUUAAUGG
rnacentral:tRNA from 1 species